GUUGGAUUCUUCACCCUGAAUUAUUUAAACAAGCUAGAAGUCAAAGAGAACAAAAAUACAAAGUUAAAGAGGAUGCUAAUGAAAAGAAAGAUGAAAAAAAGAAGGCAAGUGCAGAGAAGAACAAAAAUCAAUGGAUGCAAAGAAGGAAUAAAUACAAGAAAGGCCAAUAUGGUCAUAUUUUGGAAGAAAUUCAGGAGAAGACAACUGAUGUUGAAACAUCAAAUGCAUUUGGUGUUUUAAAUGAAGAAGAGGUGAAAGAUCAUUAGUCCAGUAACAUAAAAGACAAGGAAAGCACUAAAGACUGAGUCAAUAAGAGUUUUGGCAAAUCAGAGACAAUACUAGCUAAAGGGAUUCAAACUAGAAAUGAAGGGAAUAAGGAGAAUAACCAAGGGAAAACAACAGAAGGGAAAGCAACACAAAGAAAAAAUAAUCAACAAGUACACGAGAAAUAACAAUUAAAGAAAGAUGAAAAACCACCAACUGUUUUAAUGGAUAUAGUACUGAGGGAGAAGGCUGACACAAAAAAUUCAUAGAAAAUCAUAGAGGGAGUAGUAACAUUGGCAAUUAAGGUAGGAAACAUGAUGGCCAUUGCUAAUAGCAAGAAUGAGGAUAUCAAUAAUGAAGACUUUGGAGAUAAUAUUGCAUAUGCAACAGUGGGAGAAGAUUUAUCUCCAAAGAAGAUUAAGUCUUUGAAAUCCAAACAUGGUAAACAAAUUAAAAAGUCUAAGAAUAUCUCAACCAGUCCAAAGCAUACAAGGAGUUUUACAUCAAAAUCAG
rnacentral:lncRNA from 1 species